GAUGAACGCUGGCGGCGUGCCUAAUACAUGCAAGUCGAGCGAAGCGCCUGCUUCUGAACUUUCGGGUGAAGAAACAGGCGACUGAGCGGCGGACGGGUGAGUAACACGUAGGUAACCUGCCUCACACAGGGGGAUAACAGUUAGAAAUGACUGCUAAUACCGCAUAAGCGCACAGGACCGCAUGGUCUGGUGUGAAAAGCUCCGGCGGUGUGAGAUGGACCUGCGUCUGAUUAGCCAGUUGGCGGGGUAAAGGCCCACCAAAGCGACGAUCAGUAGCCGGCCUGAGAGGGUGGACGGCCACAUUGGGACUGAGACACGGCCCAGACUCCUACGGGAGGCAGCAGUAGGGAAUAUUGCACAAUGGGGGAAACCCUGAUGCAGCGACGCCGCGUGAGCGAAGAAGUAUCUCGGUAUGUAAAGCUCUAUCAGCAGGGAAGAAGAUGACGGUACCUGGCUAAGAAGCACCGGCUAAAUACGUGCCAGCCGCCGCAGUAAAAC
rnacentral:rRNA from 1 species